GGACUACUGGGGUAUCUAAUCCUGUUUGAUCCCCUUGCUUUCGCGCCUCAGCGUCAGGUAUACGCUAGAAAAUCGCCUUCGCCACUGGUGUUCUUCCACAUAUCUACGCAUUUCACCGCUACUUGUGGAAUUCCAUUUUCUCCGCCUAUCCUCUAGAAUGGGAGUUUCAUAUGCUGUUCCAGGGUUGAGCCCUGGGAUUUCACAUCUGACUUUCCUUCCCGCCUACGCGCCCUUUACGCCCAAUAAUUCCGAUUAAUGCUUGCACCCUCCGUAUUACCGCGGCUGCUGGCAC
rnacentral:rRNA from 1 species